AGAGAUAGAAAGUUACUUCGGUACAUCGGUGACAGGUGGUGCAUGGUUGUCGUCAGCUCGUGUCGUGAGAUGUUGGGUUAAGUCCCGCAACGAGCGCAACCCCUAUUGUUAGUUGCCAUCAUUCAGUUGGGCACUCUAGCGAGACUGCCGGUAAUAAACCGGAGGAAGUGGGGAUGACGUCAAAUCAUCAUGCCCCUUAUGUCUUGGGCUUCACGCAUGCUACAAUGGCCGGUACAAAGGGCUGCGAUACCGCGAGGUGGAGCGAAUCCCAGAAAGCCGGUCUCAGUUCGGAUUGGGGUCUGCAACUCGACCCCAUGAAGUCGGAGUCGCUAGUAAUCGCAGAUUAGCAACGCUGCGGUGAAUACGUUCCCGGGCCUU
rnacentral:rRNA from 1 species